GAUGUCACGGAAUUCUUGAGAAACCGGUCUUGGUCACAUUACAGGACUACUACUCUACGAUGUACUUUUAUAAAUUUUAAUAAAUAACGGAAAAUAUAAACUUUUAUGUUAAGUCAGCCAUCUUGGUUCUUCCCCGAAUAAAAAGUGUCCUUCCCCCCUGCAGAGCUACACAGCUCCCCCUAGCGUUAGUUUUCAAUUGAAACUAAAGAUUUGUGACAUGACUCCCUUUUUUGAGAAAUUUACAAAAUUUCAUAACAAAACGCAAAUCUUUUCCAAUGAGUAUCAAACACCGUCUCUUGAAUGUAUAUCAAGUUUAUAACAAGUCUCUAAUGAGUAUCAGACACCGUCUCUUGACUAUCAAACUAGUCUAUAA